UACGUAGGGGGCUAGCGUUGUCCGGAAUCAUUGGGCGUAAAGCGCGCGUAGGCGGCCCGGUAAGUCCGUUGUGAAAGUCAAAGGCUCAACCUUUGAAUGCCGAUGGAUACUGCCGGGCUCGGGUCCGGAAGAGGCGAGUGGAAUUCCUGGUGUAGCGGUGGAAUGCGCAGAUAUCAGGAGGAACACCGAUAGCGAAGGCAGCUCGCUGGGACGGUACUGACGCUAAGGCGCGAAAGCGUGGGGAGCGAACAGG
rnacentral:rRNA from 1 species